CCUGUUCCGCCCCCACAAGAGUCCAUUGCAGCCCAGGGCCUGGAGCGUUCCGGGCUCUUUCUUUGGAGGUUUGGACGGGAAUUUAUCCGGAUGCUGUCCACGAGGAAAGGGCGUUCAUUCUGCAAAUUAACCGUGUUCGCAGAACAGAAGGGAAAUGUUGAACCGGCAGAGAAGAACGCUCUGAAAACACUUAGCCGUGCUUUUCUGCAGACAGUCCACGUGCUGAGUGUAAAGUUACAUUAAAAUGGCCCUGCCGUCCGCGUGGCCCCUGGCCUUGAACACCCACAGGCUUUCCCGAGUUUGCUCGGAAUGAGUUGGGUUUUAAAGAACAUCUGAAAAUAAAAGCACAAGCUUCAAGACUGUUGAGGUCAUUGCAUUGAAAGGACGAUGGAGUGGAACGGGGGCCGCGGAGACCUCGCUGCCAGCCUUGACCGGAAACCAUCACGGUCCUGCCCAGAAGGGCAGCGGCCCUGGAGCCAGCCCGAAGGACCAUGGAGGGUUUAGACCGUUCACCGUGGACGCCGAAGGAUUCUCAGCAUGGCCGGGGCCCCAUGCACUGAGCAGCUUACCAGCCCGUUCAACAGACCUCACUCAGCACACGCCUCACCCAGGACACACCCCACUGACCAAAGCUGCUUCAUAGAGCAAGACAGAUUUGCAGUUUGCUUGCGUGCCUCCACGCCAUGACCCCUGAAGCCCCCCUGCGUGGAGCAGACUUCUUUCCUGGCUCACGCCGAAGCCCCUUCGAUUCCCAGCUCAGGUGUCCUUGGCCUUUGAUUCCCGUCCACUCCAAGCUGGCUUGGGAGUCUGCUCCCUCGUUCCUAAGCCCCUCAUGCACGUCUUGAUUAGAAUGCCUUCCACGCUCGUAUGACCAAUGGUUUCAUUUUCUAAGAACUUCUGGAGGGGAGACACACGUCCUGCUCACCGUGCGUCCUCAGUCAGCCCCAGGCUGCACACCUGCAGCAGAGCAGAGCUUCCCUAACAGUCCUAGGGGUUUGCCUGGAACAGAGUCGAUGGGGUGGAGCAGAGGAAGGAAUGACAUUGUCACGGACGACCAUUGGCGUCUCGGCGGUGUGUUCAUCUGGGCUCUUCCAGUUUCCCAUGACUGUGAAAAGUCCAAACUGUUGGAACUGUAAAGCCACACUCGAGAUGUCUGUGUUCAUCGGGUGACACCUACCCAAGUGAUUGUUACAAAGUUUAGGAGGAAAUGAUGUGUAAACAUCUGUAGACCAGCCUCGCCAACCAAUCUCAGAGAGAAAUGGCAAACCCCAGAGGCCACAGCUGUCGUUGACAAGAGUGGCUCCAAGCACAGGGUUCCGUGAUAAUUAUCAUUAUUUAAUGUCAUUCCACAAGGAACCAUUAGAGGAACAAGGCUGGAAAUUAGAGUCAAAUGAUUCCUCUUUCUCCUCAAUCUACACACACAAGACCCCAGCAGCGCAGCGAGAGGGGUGGGAAAGCUGUGCUCCCUGAUACUGUAAUUAUUUCUAACUCUGUCCCCAGCCCCCAAAAUACCAUCUUGUCACAUGGCUUGUCAUUUUUGCCUGGCUUGGUCUAUCAGAAUGUGUCAUAUUUCCCCAGCUUUUAUUACGGUAUUCCUGGUAGAAUAAUGGCUUGUGCUAGAAGAAUUUUGUUUUUUAAGCUGCUGAAA